rnacentral:rRNA from 1 species
GUGGGUAACCUGCCCAAGAGAUCGGGAUAACACCUGGAAACAGAUGCUAAUACCGGAUAACAACAGAUGAUGCCUAUCAACUGUUUAAAAGAUGGUUCUGCUAUCACUCUUGGAUGGACCUGCGGUGCAUUAGCUAGUUGGUGAGGUAAUGGCCCACCAAGACUAUGAUGUUUAGCCGGGUCGAGAGACUGAACGGCCACAUUGGGACUGAGAUACGGCCCAAACUCCUACGGGAGGCAGCAGCC